GUUGUCCAUGGAUAUACCGUAUUGUAUAAUGUUCCGGAAAAGUUUCCGUCUUUCUUCAGUUACAUUCAGCAGAAAAAACACACAUCUGUAAUUGCCGUAUCAGGCCUGCAUAGUUAGUUACCUCUUCCCCUUGACUUAACAAAAUGACAUCAUUUUGGAAUCUAUGAGAAUAUCUGGCAGACUGUCCCAUUUAUUUUCCUUUGGUGGGGUGGGAUGGGGGGUGGACCCCCAACUCUCUCUCAAUUUCCUUCUCUCUCCAUCUCUCUCUCUUUACAUCCUCCACCACUCUGUCUUUUUUGGGAGGGGUGGGAUAGGGGGUGGACUCACCCGACUCUCUCUCCCUCUUCAUCUCUCUCUCUCUCCUCUUCAUCUCUUUCUUUUUCUCCACCUCUUUCUCAAUUAACCCCCCCCUCUCUCUCUUUUAGGCAACCAUGUUUUUAUGGCAGGAGUCAACCAAAUAAAAGCAGCCCCACCAGUCUGUGGGGGAGAAAAGCCGCUGGUUCAAUGAAGUGAUCUAUUCAACUCAGUGUUUCUCUCUCUUGCUCUCUUCAUUAAUUACAUACUGUUGUGCCUUUUCAUCCUUUCCGUCUUUUGUUUUCUGUCUCUCUUACUUUUUAUUCCCCUCCUUCUUUCUCUGGCUGGCUGAGCUCUGACAAGGGGAUAGAAUCAAGAGUUUGGGAGAGGAGAGGGACAUUUGGGAGCGAGAUGGCGAGUGGGACGGUGGGGUUGUUCCUGUAUGGAUUCCUGCUCCUGUCUCUGUGGAAACCUUCACUGCAAGGAGGUGUGUACAUACCUGCUGGUGUAGGUGAAGGAGCUGGGACUGGAUUAGGAGCUGGAGCAGGAGUCAGAGCUGGAUUUGGUCCAGGUGGAGCUGGCACCGGUUUUGGGCCUGGUGGUGUAGGCACUGGAUAUGGGCCAGGUGGCGGAGCCGGAGUUGGACCAGGAGUUGGACCAGGAGGUGUAGGUGGAGCUGGCGCUGGUCCAGGUGGUGCAGGCUUUGGCCCUGGAGCCGGUGGAGGUUACACCAAGCCAGGGAAGACGGGAGCUGGCUAUGGUGGUCAGGUUGUAGGCCAAGGCCAAGGAGGACUGGGGACUGGAGGUCUGGGGGAAGGAAGAGUUAGACCAGAAGGAGCUGGGGCCGGACCAGGAGGUUAUGGACAUGGCGGUGGUUUAGGAGCUGGAGGCCUUGGAGCAGGAGCUGGCAAUGGAGGUUGGGGUCCUGGAGGACAGGGGGCUGGACUAGGAGCUGGAGGUCUGGGAGGAGGAGGUCUUAGACCAGGAGCCAGACCAGGAGGUUAUGGACCAGGUGGUUAUGGGCCUGGAGCUGGUCUUAGUCUGGGCGGAGCUGUAGCUGGAGGUCUUGGUGGUGGUUACGGACUUGGCGGGGGUCUAGGUGCCGGAGGCCUUGGAGCAGGAGCUGGAGGAAAGCCAGAGAAGGCAGGAGCUGGCUACGGUGGUAGAGAUCCAGGAGGACAGGGGGCUGGACUGGGUGUUGGAGGUUUUGGACCAGGUGGCUAUGGACCAGGUGGAGCUGGUGCCGGACCAGGUGGCUAUGGGCUUGGUGUUGGUCUUGGUCCUGGGGGAGCUGGUCCUGGAGUUUUUGGUGGUGGUUAUGGACCCGAUGGAACAGGGUAUGGAGGCCUCGGAGCUGGGGGACUGGGAUCCAGAGGUACAGGUCAGGGGGCUGGAGGACUUGGAGCAGGCCAAGGUCUUGGAGCCGGCCAAGGAGAUGGAUACAGACCUGGAGGAGGCUACGGUGGUGCUGCUGGUGGUCUGUACCCUGGAGCUGGAGGGGCGGGGGCAGGCCAGAAACCUCCCAAAACAGGAGCAGGAAGCACACUAGGAGGAGAUGGAUAUGGGCCUGGUGGUGCUGGUGGAUAUGGGCCUGGUGGUGCUGGUGGAUAUGGGCCUGGUGGCGCAGGUGGACAUGGGCCUGGUGGCACAGGUGGACAUGGGCCUGGUGGCGUAGGUGGACAUGGGCCUGGUGGCGUAGGUGGACAUGGGCCUGGUGGCGCAGGAACUGGGCCUGGUGGCGCAGCAGUACCAGCUGGAGCACCAGUACUUCCACAGACUGGAGUCCCUGGGGGUGGAGCUAGAGAGAAGAGCGGUUGGAAGGCCAACAAACAAGUGCCAGGUGUUGGAGUACCUGGACUUUAUCAAGGUGGAAUAGUGCCUAGUCAAGGUUUCGGAGGGCGUGGGGUUCUACCAGGUGUUGCCACUGGAUCCGGACUUGCUCCCCAGACAGGGGCAGGUGUGCUGGGCCAGGGUGGAGUUGGAGCUGGCACUGGAGCUGGAGGUGGCCGAGGCAGUUUAAAUGGAGUGUUCCGUGGAUAUCCCCUCAUAUCACCUAAAUCUGGAGGGGCUGGAGGCAAAUCGGCUAAUUCCCAGGCCAAGCUUGCUGCUAAAUAUGCUGGAGGUGUACUUCAUCAAGGGGGCAUGGCCGGAGCAGGAGGCGUACCUAGCGGCGUACCUGGAGCAGAUGGGGUCCCUGGUUAUGGAGUUGGAGCUGGUGGUGUACCUGGUUACGGAGGUGGAGCAGGAGGCAUACCUGGAUUCGGAGGCGUAGCCAGAGCAGGAGGCGUACCUGGUUACGGGGGCGGAGCCGGACCAGGAGGCGUACCUGGGGCAGGGGGCGUCCCUGGCUCAGGUGGGUAUGGAUACCCAGGGGGUUACCCAGGUGGAGGGCGGUACCCUGGGGCUGGCCUAGGUGUAGGAGGUGCCUACCCCGGAGAAGCUGGAUCUAAGGCAGCCAAAUAUGGUCAGGGUGGAGCAGGCACUGGAGCUGGUGGUGGGCUCAGCCAGGGAGUGCCUGCAUCUGGGAUUGGAACCGGAAGACUGCCUGGUGGGGCUGGAGGGGAACCAGGAGGCGGUUACAGGCCUGGCGGUAGCUUCGGUCCUGGAGGUGGAGUUGGACCAGGUGGGGCCAGUUAUGGACCAGGUGGGGCCGGCUAUGGACCAGGUGGAGCUGGACCUGGUGGCUAUGGACCAGGUAGUGCUGGAAGUUUUGGAACAGGUGGAGGGGUUGGACCAGGUGGUGCCGGGGAAGGACAUGGUGGAGCUGGCUAUGGACCAGGUGGAGGAGUUGGUGGAGUGCCUGGUGGUGGACACAGACCUGGAGGUGGUUUACCUGGUAGUGGUGCUGGUUACGGACCUGGUGCUGGUGUUGGAGGAUAUGAUGCAAAUGCCAAAGCUCGUAAAUAUGGUAUGCUAAGUGGUGUCCUUGGGACCCCAGGAGGAGGACAGGCAGCCAGCCUGGGAGGAGUACCAGGAGGGGGAGCAGGGACUGGAGUAGGCCAGGGUGGAGUGCCUGGAUCUGGGCUUGGUGGUGGUGGAGGUGUCCCCGGUGGUUAUGGUCCUGGAGCUGGAUUUGGACCUGGUGGUGGAACUGUUGGUGGUUAUGGACCAGGAGGGGGUGCUGGGACUGGACUUGGCCAGGGAGGAGUUGGGUCCGUACCAGAUGGCUAUGGGACUGGGCCUGGUGGUUAUGGACCAGGUGGAGCCGGACAGGGUGCAGUGAAGCCAAACAAAUCAGGUUAUGGCUCCUCCUCCUCGGGUGGAGCUCUCUUUGGACCAGGUGCUGGAGCAGGUGGGGUAUCUGGUGCUGGAGCUACCGGGCGAAGAGGAGGAGUACCAGGAGGCUACGGAGUAGGAGAAGCGGGACAGUCAGGGCAGAAAUCAAAGGCACAGAAGGCAGCCAAAUACACAGCCAUGCAAGGCUUCCUGGGAGCACGCAGCUACAGAGGGGUCGCCGACUGCCAGGGUAUAUACUGCGGACGGAGGAGGAAGUGAGAGAGCAGCAAAAAGAAGUGACCUCAUCAACAACAUUGUGGUGCUACUGCAUGAUUCAAGAAUGUACUGAUUUUCAACUACUAAUAUGUCCCUUUUUUCUUUUAAAGUGUGAAUCUCGGGCAAUGGCAAAACCAGAGCCUGUUUGAUCUUUUAUUCUGAAACUGUGAUCAUGUGUUUAUUGUUCCUCACCUGUACCCCUUUAGCCCCUCCUGUGUGUACCCCAUUUACCCAUUUAGCUCCACCACGAAUCAUGUUUGUUUAAAACACUGAUACUAAGGCGUCCCACAACGGUGUGCCUCUAGACCUGUCUGUAUGCUGACUAAACUGUCUGUUUUCUGAUUAAUGUGACUAACAUCCCUCUAUAAAGCUAUGCUAUUGACACACAGGCCCAGACUUACUCAACAUUUGCACCUGCACUUUUCAAUAUACCUAGUUUUUGUUCAAGUUGUUUAGUUGCAAACAUUUACAAUAUCUGGCCCAAGGCGUCUUGAGAUAUAUAUACACACACUGCUGCCAUAAAUUAAAAUCAUAGGAGAUAUCUUUAGAGUGGUAAUCUUACAACCACCAUUUUUGAUUUAGAACUGUGUCCACUCUGAACCCCCAAAAGCAGUGUGUGUCCACAGCAACACUCAUGUUCUAACUCUGAUUCGAGUUUCAGUAGUUCUCAAAAAAAGGGAGCUUACUGCCCUUAGAGCCAUUAGUAAAGGUUUUAAGAUCUUAUAUGCAGUCGUGUAUAAUGCCUUUACAGAAUAUAUAUAUAGUAAGGUUUAGCUAAGCCACUUGCCUGAAAUAUUAUCAACAUCUUUCUGAAUGGCUGUAUAACACUGAAUUGCUGUGAGUGUUUUGAAUACUUAAUCACACUGAUAUGACUGUGUUAGUACAGCCAUAGUUGAGAUGACUGAAAAUGCAAACGUAUAUUUUCUUUGUUUAAAAUCCUCAUCUUGGCUUUACUGAGAGCAACAGUACCUACAUGACAUUUGCAGUUGAUUAAAACUAAUAUUAUAAUCAUGCUCAUCUCCACAGAUUGGCCUGUUUUCAGACCUAUCACCGUAAAACAUAAUUCUGUUAACUCAAAUUAUUUGAAAAACUGAUUGCCUUGACUCAUUAAAUUAAAGCAACACAUGUUUUGUAAGUUACCAGUACUCAGUUCAUUUAGUUUUAGUGACUUAGAAGAUUAUGUUACACAGUGAACUGUAGAGAGCAUAUAACUGCAGACUGUUGACAAAAGCCCAACGUUUUUACGCGCUUUAAUUCACCCAGGAAAUAGAAUGCAUGGGAGAGAAUGAGAGACAACAGAUGGGCCUCAACGGUGUCAUUACACAUCAGUUUAGAAAGCAAGUCUAUUUCUCUCCACAUCUACAAGAAGCAAUGCUGGUAAAAUUAGCAAAUAAAUUGCCAGAAAAUAGACUGUUUGCAUCGUUAUGUCUGGAAAUGUGAAAUGUAUAGUUAAAAAGUGUCUAUUCAGUGUUGAUCAGUUUAACUGCCAAUACAUAUUUGAAAACAAAUGCAUAGAAUUUUGAUCACAGGCAUAUAGCCUAGGCCAGGGGUCUCCAAAGUUUUUUCUAGCCUGAGUUACUUUAAGAAAAAUUUAACAUGUCGCUUCUCUUCUCCCAUUCAACUCUUCCUCUGGUCCUUAGUGUAUAAGAGAAAGUAGUGCACUGUUUUCUGUCAAUAUACCUGGUAAAAUAAGGAUUAAUAAACAACUCUAAGGGGAGACCUAUAAAGUCAGAUUUGUUUUCUCCAAAAUUAUGUUUUCAAUUUCCCAAAAUAAGUCUUCUCUGUUUACUAUUUUCUGGUUUAAGAUGUUGAUUUUACUCUCAAAAUUACAAUUGUUCAUAGAGAAGUUUGUUCUGAGGACAUGUCAAUGGUUAAAUCACAUCAGGAUACUUUUUUUGGGGGGNNNNNNNNNNGGUGGAGCUGGCUAUCAACCAGGUUAUUAUGGCUCCCAGGGUGGAGCUGGCUAUCAACCAGGUUAUUAUGGCUCCCAGGGUGGAGCUGGUUAUC
rnacentral:lncRNA from 13 species